rnacentral:rRNA from 1 species
GAUGAACGCUGGCGGCGUGCCUAACACAUGCAAGUCGAGCGAAAAGACGAUGAGCUUGCUACACUGACGGUAGCGGCGGAAGGAAGAGGAACAUGUGGAGAACACAACUAUAAGACUGGGAUAAGAACGUGGAACCAAUACUGAUAAUGUACAAUAGAUGCAACGGGGUGGUUCAAUAGUUCAAGAGGGUUUUGCUGUCACCUAGAGCUGGAUCCGCGUCGGAUUAGUUAGUUGGUAAGGUAACGGCUUCGCAAGGCGACGAUGCGUGGCCGACCUGAGAGGGUGAUCCGCGACACUGGAGCUGAGACACGGUCCAGACUCCUACGUGCGGCAGCAGUAGCGAAUCGUGGGCAAUGGGCGAAAGCCUGAACAAGCAACGCCGCGUUGGUGAAGCAGGUCUUCGGGUCGUAAAACUCUCUUCUUGGGGAAGAACAAUUGUAGCAGGAACUAUGCAUGUUUUGACGGUACCUGAAGAAGAAGCCACGGCUAACUACGUG